rnacentral:tRNA from 1 species
GCCUGGGUGGCUCAGGCGGUUGAGCGUCCGACUUCGGCUCAGGUCGUGAUCUCACGGUUCGUGAGUUCGAGACCCGCCUCGGGUU